rnacentral:rRNA from 1 species
ACGGGAGGCAGCAGUGGGGAAUAUUGCACAAUGGGCGCAUGCCUGAUGCAGCGAUGCCGCGUGCGGGAAGAAGGUUUUCGGAUUGUAAACCUCUGUCCUCGGGGACGAUACUGACUGUACCCGAGAAGGAAGCCCCGGCUAACUACGUGCCAGCAGCCGCGGUAAUACGUCGGGAGCGAGCGUUAUCCGGAAUUACUGGGUGUAAAGGGAGUGUAGGCGGGACUGUAAGUCAGAUGUGAAAUACGCCGGCUCAACUGGCAGACUGCAUUUGAAACUGCAGUUCUUGAGUGAAGUAGAGGUAAGCGGAAUUCCUAGUGUAGCGGUGAAAUGCGUAGAUAUUAGGAGGAACAUCAGUGGCGAAGGCGGCUUACUGGGCUUUAACUGACGCUGAGGCUCGAAAGCGUGGGGAGCAAACAGGAUUAGAUACCAUGGUA